rnacentral:lncRNA from 1 species
AGAAUAUACAUACCUGUAUUCAACCUAAUGAAUAUUUAAUUGGGCAGUUUAUGAGGGAGAUGCAAGUUCUUUGAUUAUUAUUAAGUGGAAUGUAUUCAAAAGUUUAAAGUCCACAUUUGUUAUUGGGAAGAAAUAUACUUGAAUACACCUUAUUUAUUGACCACUAUGUGGUUAACACACUUUUAUACAUGUACUAUUGUGUAUUUUGAGG